rnacentral:rRNA from 1 species
GAUGAACGCUGGCGGCGUGCCUAAUACAUGCAAGUCGAGCGAACGGACGAGAAGCUUGCUUCUCUGAUGUUAGCGGCGGACGGGUGAGUAACACGUGGAUAACCUACCUAUAAGACUGGGAUAACCUCGGGAAACCGGAGCUAAUACCGGAUAAUAUUUUGAACCGCAUGGUUCAAAAGUGAAAGACGGUCUUGCUGUCACUUAUAGAUGGAUCCGCGCUGCAUUAGCUAGUUGGUAAGGUAACGGCUUACCAAGGCAACGAUGCAUAGCCGACCUGAGAGGGUGAUCGGCCACACUGGAACUGAGACACGGUCCAGACUCCUACGGGAGGCAGCAGUAGGGAAUCUUCCGCAAUGGGCGAAAGCCUGACGGAGCAACGCCGCGUGAGUGAUGAAGGUCUUCGGAUCGUAAAACUCUGUUAUUAGGGAAGAACAUAUGUGUAAGUAACUGUGCACGUCUUGACGGUACCUAAUCAGAAAGCCACGGCUAACUACGUG